AUUGAACGCUGGCGGCAGGCCUAACACAUGCAAGUCGAGCGGAUGACGGGAGCUUGCUCCUUGAUUCAGCGGCGGACGGGUGAGUAAUGCCUAGGAAUCUGCCUGGUAGUGGGGGACAACGUUUCGAAAGGAACGCUAAUACCGCAUACGUCCUACGGGAGAAAGCAGGGGACCUUCGGGCCUUGCGCUAUCAGAUGAGCCUAGGUCGGAUUAGCUAGUAGGUGAGGUAAUGGCUCACCUAGGCGACGAUCCGUAACUGGUCUGAGAGGAUGGUCAGUCACACUGGAACGGAGACACGGUCCAGACUCCUACGGGAGGCAGCAGUGGGGAAUAUUGGACAAUGGGCGAAAGCCUGAUCCAGCCAUGCCGCGUGUGUGAAGAAGGUCUUCGGAUUGUAAAGCACUUUAAGUUGGGAGGAAGGGUUGUACGUUAAUACCGUGCAAUUUUGACGUUACCGACAGAAUAAGCACCGGCUAACUCUGUGCCAGCCGCCGCCGUAA
rnacentral:rRNA from 1 species